rnacentral:rRNA from 1 species
GGAUUAGAUACCCUGGUAGUCCACGCCGUAAACGAUGAUAACUAGCUGUCCGGGGACUUGGUCUUUGGGUGGCGCAGCUAACGCAUUAAGUUAUCCGCCUGGGGAGUACGGCCGCAAGGUUAAAACUCAAAUGAAUUGACGGGGGCCUGCACAAGCGGUGGAGCAUGUGGUUUAAUUCGAAGCAACGCGCAGAACCUUACCAGCGUUUGACAUGUCCGGACGACUGGCAGAGAUGCCUUUCUUCCCUUCGGGGACUGGAACACAGGUGCUGCAUGGCUGUCGUCAGCUCGUGCC